GAUAAACGCUGGCGGCGUGCCUAAUGCAUGCAAGUCGCACGGACCAUCUCUUCGGGGGUGGUGAGUGGCGAACGGGUGAGUAACGCGUGGCCAACCUACCCCGGCGUGGGGGAUACCCGCCAGAAAUGGCGGCUAAUACCGCGUACGGUCCCACGGUGGUGAGCGGUGGGAAGAAAGCCGCAAGGCGCGCUGGGAGGGGGCUGCGGCCGAUUAUGCUCGUUGGCGGGGUAACGGCCCACCAAGGCGAUGAUCGGUAGCGGGUCUGAGAGGAUGAUCC
rnacentral:rRNA from 1 species